rnacentral:rRNA from 1 species
GAAUGCUGACAUAAGUAACGAUAAAGCGGGUGAAAAGCCCGCUCGCCGGAAGACCAAGGGUUCCUGUCCAACGUUAAUCGGGGCAGGGUGAGUCGACCCCUAAGGCGAGGCCGAAAGGCGUAGUCGAUGGGAAACAGGUUAAUAUUCCUGUACUUGGUGUUACUGCGAAGGGGGGACGGAGAAGGCUAUGUUGGCCGGGCGACGGUUGUCCCGGUUUAAGCGUGUAGGCUGGUUUUCCAGGCAAAUCCGGAAAAUCAAGGCUGAGGCGUGAUGACGAGGCACUACGGUGCUGAAGCGACAAAUGCCCUGCUUCCAGGAAAAGCCUCUAAG